CCUUCAUCUUGGUGAGGGCUGAGGGCUGCGUAGGUGUAUGGGGUCCCAAAGAGCCUUAGUUUCUUUAUCGGAAAAAUGGAGUACCAGUACCAACUGCCAGUACCAACUCUACAGAAUUGUUAUGUGGAUUAAAUAAAAUUAAAGGCAAUAUUUUUAGGAGUA